rnacentral:rRNA from 1 species
CGAAAGCCUGACGGAGCAAGACCGCGUGAGGGAGGAAGGCUCUUGGGUUGUAAACCUCUUUUCUCAGGGAAGAAGCUCUGACGGUACCUGAGGAAUCAGCCUCGGCUAACUCCGUGCCAGCAGCCGCGGUAAUACGGAGGAGGCAAGCGUUAUCCGGAAUUAUUGGGCGUAAAGCGUCCGCAGGUGGCGAUUCAAGUCUGCUGUCAAAGCMCGGGGCUUAACUCCGUUAAGGCAGUGGAAACUGAAUAGCUAGAGUGCCGUAGGGGUAGAGGGAAUUCCCGGUGUAGCGGUGAAAUGCGUAGAGAUCGGGAAGAACAUCGGUG